CGUACUGAUGUAGGGGGAGGGAGCGGGCUUACAAGGGGUAUAAAUAAGGGACGCAGAAGCUUUGUUCCUAUCAGCCGUGUUCAGAUCACAGUUGCUUGAACAGUGUUCUCUGUCGUACAUCCCUGUGUCUUACAGACCGCAUAAGCAUGGAUCGUAAUGCAGGAAAACUUUUUGUUGGUGGAUUGCCUUUCCAGACUACUGAACAGAGUUUAGAAGACGUGUUCUGCAGAUAUGGACAAAUUACUGAAGUCAUCGUGGUUAAGGACAGAGAGACACAGAAAUCAAGAGGCUUUGGAUUUGUGACUUUUGAAAACCCAGAUGAUGCAAACGAUGCCAGAGAGGCUAUGGAUGGACAGACUCUAGAUGGUCGCCAGAUCCGUGUGGACAAGGCAGGUCAGUCUCGGGGUGGCUCCAGAGGUGGCCAAUCUGGAGGUGGCCGUGGAUACAGUCGUGGAAGAGGUGGAUAUGGUGGCCGUGGAGGUUACAGCAGUGGUGGCUAUGGUGGUUAUGGCAGUGGUUCCAGCUAUGGCAGCAGGUAAUAGAAUCAGGGAAGUUAUGGAUCUGGAGGCAGCUAUAGAAGCUAUGAUUAGAGCUGUGUGCCAAGCCCUGGUUCAAGAACAUCUUCCAUGUAAGUCAUGGAGCUGCACUGAAUCGCUCUGUAGUCCCUACUGCAGUGUUCUGGAUAAUCAACAUUUUUUGUCCCCAAAGCCCUUCUCAGUUGUCAACAAGUGUGGAAGACUUGAACUUUUUUCAAGUUCUUUUAAGCGUUUUGUGAUUCACAGGGAUUUUGUUCUGAAGUACUAAAGCAUACUACAAAUACUUUUAAAAAAAAAACAAAAAAAAAACCAACUGUUCAAGCAACUGAUGGUCUAAGGCUGAACAAGCUGGGUGGUCUAACAUUCGGUUCUUGUAUACAUUUCUUUAAGAGUGGCUUAGCUUGGUUUUUCAUGCUUUGGUACUCUUGAAGGGGUGAUCCUAUGAUUCAUGAGUAUGAACAGCUAUUUAAAAUGUAUAUAGUAAACACUCAGCAGAAUUUCCUUAGUGUUCAUUUUGUUACUCGAGUUUGUCUCUAGAAUUGUAUCAUUUGGCAUAAAAAGCCUAAUAAAGAUUCAUUUGAAUGGAA